rnacentral:rRNA from 1 species
CAGAAGCGAGCCUGCGAAGGCAAGCGGAUCUCUUAAAGCUGUUCUCAGUUCGGACUGCAGUCUGCAACUCGACUGCACGAAGCUGGAAUCGCUAGUAAUCGCGGAUCAGCACGCCGCGGUGAAUACGUUCCCGGGCCUUGUACACACCGCCCGUCAAGCCAUGGGAGCCGGGGGUGCCUGAAGUUCGUUACCGCAAGGAUCGACCUAGGGCAAAACUGGUGACUGGGGCUAAGUCGUAACAAGGUAUC